GCGUAAGGAGUGCGAAGAGGCGGGAGAAUAGGGGGAGGGCAAGCGUGAAUCGGAAUCACUGUGAGUAAAGGUCAAGUAGGCGGGUUAAUAAGGUUGAAUUGAAAGACGAUAGCGUAACUAUAGAAGUGCUUUGAAAACUGUGAAUCUAGAAUGUGGGAGAGGUAGAUGGAAGUUCUGGUGUAGGGGUAAAAUCCGUAGAGAUCAGAAGGAAUACCGAUUGCGAAGGCGAUCUACUGGAACAUUAUUGACGCUGAGAUGCGAAAGCGUGGGGAGCAAACAGGAUUUGAUACCCCAGUAGUC
rnacentral:rRNA from 1 species